rnacentral:rRNA from 1 species
AACGCGAAGAACCUUACCCAGAUUUGACAUACAGAGGACAGUACUAGAAACAGUAUCUCCCUUCGGGGCCUCUGAACAGGUGCUGCAUGGCUGUCGUCAGCUCGUGCCGUGAGGUGUUGGGUUAAGUCCCGCAACGAGCGCAACCCUUAUCACUAGUUGCUACCAAGUUAAGUUGAGCACUUUAGUGAGACUGCCCGGGUUAACCGGGAGGAAGGUGAGGAUGACGUCAAGUCCGCAUGGCCUUUAUAUCUGGGGCUACACACGUACUACAAUGGUCGGUACAGAAGGCAGCGAAACCGCGAGGUGGAGCAAAUCCCAAAAGCCGAUCUCAGUUCAGAUUGUAGUCUGCAACCCGACUACAUGAAGAUGGAAUUGCUAGUAAUGGCAGGUCAGCACACUGCCGUGAAUACGUUCCCGGGCCUUGUA